CUCCAGUUAGCCUAAUGGUGAAGGCUAUGGAGCGCCAAUCCGGAGUUGGCGGGUUCGAUUCCCGUUCUGGUCG
rfam:Aedes albopictus isolate Foshan contig121238, whole genome shotgun sequence.